rnacentral:rRNA from 1 species
AACGAACGCUGGCGGCAUGCCUAACACAUGCAAGUCGAACGGGAUCCAGGCUUCGGCCUGGUGAGAGUGGCGGACGGGUGAGUAACGCGUGGGAACCUGCCCAAUGGUCUGGGAUAACCGCGGGAAACUGCGGCUAAUACCGGAUAAGCCCGAGAGGGGAAAGAUUUAUCGCCGAUGGAGGGGCCCGCGUCAGAUUAGGUAGUUGGUGGGGUAAUGGCCUACCAAGCCUACGAUCUGUAGCUGGCUGAGAGGAUGAUCAGCCACACUGGGACUGAGAUACGGCCCAGACUCCUACGGGAGGCAGCAGUGGGGAAUCUUGCGCAAUGGCCGAAAGGCUGACGCAGCGACGCCGCGUGAGGGAUGAA